CCUACGGGAGGCAGCAGUGGGGAAUAUUGCACAAUGGGCGCAAGCCUGAUGCAGCCAUGCCGCGUGUGUGAAGAAGGCCUUCGGGUUGUAAAGCACUUUCAGCGGGGAGGAAGGCGUUAAGGUUAAUAACCUUGUCGAUUGACGUUACCCGCAGAAGAAGCACCGGCUAACUCCGUGCCAGCAGCCGCGGUAAUACGGAGGGUGCAAGCGUUAAUCGGAAUUACUGGGCGUAAAGCGCACGCAGGCGGUCUGUCAAGUCGGAUGUGAAAUCCCCGGGCUCAACCUGGGAACUGCAUUCGAAACUGGCAGGCUAGAGUCUUGUAGAGGGGGGUAGAAUUCCAGGUGUAGCGGUGAAAUGCGUAGAGGUCUGGAGGAAUACCGGUGGCGAAGGCGGCCCCCUGGACAAAGACUGACGCUCAGGUGCGAAAGCGUGGGGAGCAAACAGGAUUAGAUACCCUAGUAGUC
rnacentral:rRNA from 1 species